ACAGACACACACACGCACGGUAUUCCAUUAUAAUGCGUCUCGAUCGAUCGUAGAUAGAUGACAGAGGAUUUUCAUUGGUGCCGAUCGAGCUAGAAACUUCAAGGAGAAAUACUUUCACUGUCACACCGUGUUACCACUUGUGUAGUUAUCGCAAACUCUGACUAAGCCGAUAGCCAUACUUUUUUACUUCUUUCUUUUUUCUAUUACAGAGUUCCCUGGAUUUAACAAGAAAAGUAAAUCGCUUGAAAUGAUUAGAAGAUGAUUUAAUAGAAAGCUUUUAUCGCUUGGCAAGAUAACGUAAUACAUGGAGAACUUUAACAUAUUGUACAAGUUGAACGAUUAAGAUAAAAAUUGUUUAAAGCAAUUAAAAAAUUACAGAAGUAUCUGUCACUUAGAGGGUAAAGUAUAAGUUGUUGUUCUUCACGUAUUUGUGCAUUGACAUUUGUGUAUUUCAGAUCUACAGAAGGGACGAUAAUGGCAGAAAUAAAAGAAAAUUUUAUUCGAAAGCUAUUUAGCGUUCUUUCUUUUUUAACGACUCGACUUUUUAAACAUUAUGCAAUAUGAAUGUAUAAUUAAUUAUGAAAGGAAGACGCAAUGGUCUCAAAAGAUAACAAGUAUGUCGUUCAAACAUGAGUCGCUUGUUACCUUCUAGGAAUAAGAUUUAUUUGAAUAAUGACGUGUCUGUUACCAUUUUCUCAAUGCCAGUUUCGUUACGUCGAAGGCAUAAAACGAUGGGCGUUCACGCCAACGCUAAAAGUGCCGUGGUAUACGGCACCAGUUCUUGCGGGCCAUCUGGAUCAUAAGAAAGUGAUUCGGGAGCCUUUAUUCUAAAUGGUCGGAUGUUCAAUGGAAUAUUCGAAAUCGAGAAACAUUCUGACUCGUAUCGAUGAAAUACAGAUACAAGGUUUUUUCUUCUGAUACAUAUAAUAAAACUCAUAAUUUCCAAUUUAUCGUAAUGACAUAUCAUUUAUUUGAAAGUAAAGCUAAAUAUAAAAUUUAAUUGUUAAUGAUCAAAUUGAUGGGUGAUAACCAAUAUGGAAUCCAGAAUCAUCGUUGCAACGUGAAUUUGAAAUUCCGUAUACAUGUAUGCAACUGCACAUAGUACAAUUGUUGCGAAAAUAAAAUUCGAGGGAAAGAGAAGCGUGCUAUUCAUACGCUAACCGAGAAAAGUAACUCGAAAAGAGAAAGGGAUGAUGAAGUCGACUUCAUGGUUUGCUGUGCAAUUUUGUUAAUAACAUUGUAAAAUUGCUGGCUAAGGAAAAACUUUAAUCUGACGCCAUUCACUUUUACCAUAAGGCAACAAUUUCGACCGGUAAAUUGGUAAAAAUCGUAGGCUUUUUAUCGCCAUCACUGAGUUGAAUACAUUGAUCUGGAAGGAGUUAUAACAUACAAAUAUUGUGCAAAUUAAUUUGUAAUUUUCAUGGAAAGAGCUCUGGUCUCGUCACUUCUAAAGCGAGCCAUUUAAGGAAGAGAUUACAAAUUUUCGUGUCACUCUGCAUACUUAUUGGCAAACCAGUCGUGCGUAGAAUGUGAUUAUAAAACGGAGUAAACGAUCAUCUAGCCAUCUUCUACUGAAAAUUUCAUAAUUUCACCCAAUUUCAUUAUCCUUGUUUUGAUAGGAUAUAAAUAAAAUGAUUGUUCUUAAUGCGCGAAUGACGCUCAAGACAUCGUACAUAAACGUACCUACGACGAUACCAUGUUCAGCAUUCGCCGCUAGCAACUCAUCAGCAAUUCGAUUAUUCAUCGGAAUCUAGGUCUGGAGCGAAAAAUACGGAGUAACCAGGCCACAGUCUGUGAAUCAGCAAGACGCUAUCUUCAGAUUGUUCUUAGAUCCUUUUCAACGAUUUCUAAUUAUAGAUUAUUGGAACGAUCAGCAAACGAGGAGAAUCAAGGACCAUGUUUUGCAUCAUUAACGAUUACCA